GGCACCAACAUCUUCAUUAUGAGUAAGGUAACUAACCACUGGGCCAAAGCAUUGGAAUCCGACUCCUGGGGUUUCUGCACUCCAGACUACUGGUUCACAUGUGAGGAGCCUGUGAGAGACCUGAGAUCUUUUAUUCUGCUUUGUGAUCAGAUCCUAUUGCUUUCACAAAAAAACGUCGUUUAUUAGGGGUGGUGUAUGGCGCGUUUGAGGACGUGCGUGGAAAGAUUUUCCCAAGUUGCAGAGGAGACGUUGGUGUUUACGGAAAACUGAAAUAAGUGAACUUGCAAGACAAGACUGGAGGAAAAUCCCAGCAUUCCUGGGAGCUCAACUGAGGGGGCGAAGGGAAGGGGAAAAGGAAUGCCCCUCGGGAGUUUCCCGGGAUAGCGCGCGGCCCCACGGGCUUCCUACUGCCGGCUCACCAACGGGAAAUAUGCGCAGGGGAGACUCCCAAACGGACACAAAAAAGAUUCCUCAUCCCUGCUUCUCAUACCCCCUUUUUCGCACAUACACAGGAGCCCAUACUGUGAAAAUCCACCCCCUACACCACAGCUGAUUGCUGCGAUGGGUCUCUGGGGAUGUUCUCAGUCGGCCCUACCCUAGCAUCUUUAUAAACGCCUCCUGGUGGCUUUUAGCUGAGUAGGAGCGCCACGAUAUUCAGUACACAUUUAGAAGCGAGCGCUUCAGCAAUUUCCUUGUGGUAGAGAGGAAUGCAGCUCUGCUCCAAGUAGUUUAACCUAGAUUCGACGCCUGUUCAUGGACAGCGUGCUUAGUGCAAAUUGAAUGUAACAGUUUGCAGGUUGGGGUUGGUUUCCGGGAUUUCAGAUUUUUAAACGGACACACCGACACUCUGGAAGUGGUCUUCGAGGACCGCAUGCUCCCUCUUGUGGAUGACAACAGUUCCCAACGCCAAACAAACAAGAAAACCACAACCCAGUAACUCUCCCUGCAAAUACAGGCUUCUUUUUAUCAGGAUUCCUGCUGGAUUUCUUUGCAACGGAAUUUUUGCAACUGGCUGUCAUUAGGCAAAAUCUUUAAAUUCAGUGUUUUCUGGAAAGCUGGGUUGGGAGUGUUCCUCAAUCUUAGACUAGGUCUAUGAGAAACAAAUUCACCGUCCAAACCCAAAGAAUGGACUCAGAGACCCGGAGAACAGCAAAAGUGAGAGUUUAACGACGAUCUUGCAAGAUCGGUUGUCUGAUGAGCGGGCACACCCAGCACACUUUGAACAACCGAUUUAUCCCGUGGUGCGCAGGUCCCUCCCCGGGUUCCUCACAGGGUCGAGGAUGGUCAAGGACAGUCCUGUUUGCACAGAGGUGGCAGGAAACUCUCAGGAGAGAGGAUAAAAAUCCUCCAAGGGAGAUUCCAAAUUUUCAAGCCGUGGUGGAGACAAGAAAAGUUCCUUAAAAAAAAAAAAAAAAAAAGUGCUUACAAAGAGGAUGAUUUCAAACCUGAGUGGAGAAAGC
rnacentral:lncRNA from 1 species